UACGUAGGGUGCAAGCGUUGUCCGGAAUUAUUGGGCGUAAAGAGCUCGUAGGCGGUCUGUCGCGUCGGCUGUGAAAACUCGGGGCUCAACCCCGAGCCUGCAGUCGAUACGGGCAGACUAGAGUGCUGUAGGGGAGACUGGAAUUCCUGGUGUAGCGGUGAAAUGCGCAGAUAUCAGGAGGAACACCGGUGGCGAAGGCGGGUCUCUGGGCAGUAACUGACGCUGAGGAGCGAAAGCGUGGGGAGCAGACAGG
rnacentral:rRNA from 1 species